GUUCAUUCAACGGCAGACGGGGGAGGAGACUGGGAGGUGGCGCCAUUGCGCAGGCGCAAGAGAGAUCGGUCACACCAAAAAUGGCGGGAAAGAAAUAACGUCGAGGCUUCCCUUUAGAAUGAUCAGCACACUAUUGGGAAUAGUACAGGAGACACCAGGAACGAAGGAAAACAAUCAAAGUCUGACGAAGAAGCAAAAUUAAGCCUUUUAAGAGUACUUGAAGAAACAUCAUUGUUCAGCAUUCUGAUGAAACUUAUGAUUCAUUUGAUAUCAAGGAUUGAAAGAAUUUUCAAGCGUGCAGAGCUUAAUAUUAAGAGUGAAAAAGACUUUCAAGUUAUAGCAUUUUUCUUUUUGUGAAUAAAUUUGUCACAGACAUUUACAUUUUUUCCUUAAAUAUUGCUCAAGUUGGAGUAAUAAGCCAAAUGGAAACAAUUGGAUGAACAUAGCAAGACUAAUUUGAUGGUAUUAAAGCUAAUAGAAGAUUUGGUAUCCAAAUGCCACUACUGUGUUACCAUGCUAUUACAAUCACAAUCUUUAUUUUAUUUAAGAAUAAAUUUGUCUUUGUUUACCUGUC